AACGAACGCUGGCGGCAUGCCUAACACAUGCAAGUCGAACGGGAUCCAGGCUUCGGCCUGGUGAGAGUGGCGGACGGGUGAGUAACGCGUGGGAACCUGCCCAAUGGUCUGGGAUAACCGCGGGAAACUGCGGCUAAUACCGGAUAAGCCCGAGAGGGGAAAGAUUUAUCGACGAUGGAGGGGCCCGCGUCCGAUUAGGUAGUUGGUGAGGUAACGGCUCACCAAGCCGACGAUCGGUAGCUGGUCUGAGAGGAUGAUCAGCCACACUGGGACUGAGAUACGGCCCAGACUCCUACGGGAGGCAGCAGUGGGGAAUAUUGGACAAUGGGGGCAACCCUGAUCCAGCAAUGCCGCGUGAGUGAUGAAGGCCUUAGGGUUGUAAAGCUCUUUUGGCGGGGACGAUGAUGACGGUACCCGCAGAAUAAGCCCCGGCUAACUUCGUGCCAGCAGCCGCGGUAAU
rnacentral:rRNA from 1 species